AUUUUCGGGAUGGGGUUUUCAUGGGAUGCAUCUGAAAGCUUGAUCAUGUAAUAGGAUGUUACAGGGCUUUGGAUAGCAACGCAGCCAGACAAAUAAUGGCUUCUUUUUCAGCAUCCAGGUCGGGAUUGGGAAAUUCAAAGAACUGAAGGAGGUCCUCAACAGUAGUUCUAAGAGGGUUUGCGGUGACUAGAAAAGCUUCCAGACCGACGAGUUUUUAAUCACCCAGCGUGUGCUGGUUGUCAGCGAUUUUUUCUCUAUCGCAGCAGCAAAACUCAAAUUUUUUGAUUGUAAAAUGCACUUCAAUGAUUUUCUUCAGUAGGAAUGCUUGAGCACACGGGUGCUGCCGGUUUUCUAAUUCACACGUACUGCUAUUUUUUCUCCCUAUCUCAGCGAGCUAGUGUAACAUUCGUGUUG
rnacentral:misc_RNA from 1 species